UACGUAGGGGGGCAAGCGUUGUCCGGAAUCAUUGGGCGUAAAGCGCGCGCAGGCGGUCCUUUAAGUCUGAUGUGAAAGCCCACGGCUCAACCCUGGAAUGCCGGUGGAAACUGUCGAGCUAGAGUCCGGAAGAGGCGAGUGGAAUUCCUGGUGUAGCGGUGAAAUGCGCAGAUAUCAGGAGGAACACCGAUGGCGAAGGCAGGUCUCUGGGCAUUAACUGACGCUGAGGAGCGAAAGCAUGGGGAGCGAACAGG
rnacentral:rRNA from 1 species